AGUGAACGCUGGCGGUAGGCCUAACACAUGCAAGUCGAACGGCAGCACAGAGGAGCUUGCUCCUUGGGUGGCGAGUGGCGGACGGGUGAGGAAUACAUCGGGAUCUACUCUGUCGUGGGGGAUAACGUAGGGAAACUUACGCUAAUACCGCAUACGACCUACGGGUGAAAGCAGGGGACCUUCGGGCCUUGCGCGAUUGAAUGAGCCGAUGUCGGAUUAGCUAGUUGGCGGGGUAAAGGCCCACCAAGGCGACGAUCCGUAGCUGGUCUGAGAGGAGGAUCAGCCACACUGGAACUGAGACACGGUCCAGACUCCUACGGGAGGCAGCAGUGGGGAAUAUUGGACAAUGGGCGCAAGCCUGAUCCAGCCAUACCGCGUGGGUGAAGAAGGCCUUCGGGUUGUAAAGCCCUUUUGUUGGGAAAGAAAUCCAGCUGGCUAAUACCCGGUUGGGAUGACGGUACCCAAAGAAUAAGCACCGGCUAACUUCGUGCCAGCCGCCGCAGUAA
rnacentral:rRNA from 1 species